GACGAAGGGGGCUAGCGUUGUUCGGAAUUACUGGGCGUAAAGCGAGUGUAGGUGGUUGUUCAAGUUGGAUGUGAAAGCCUUGAGCUCAACUCAAGAAAUGCAUUCAGGACUGAGCGACUAGAGGACCGGAGAGGAUAGUGGAAUUCCCAGUGUAGUGGUGAAAUACGUAGAGAUUGGGAAGAACACCAGUGGCGAAGGCGGCUAUCUGGACGGUUUCUGACACUAAGACUCGAAAGCGUGGGGAGCAAACAGGAUUAGAUACCCUGGUAGUCCACGCCGUAAACGAUGGGUGCUAGACGUUGGCGAGCUUGCUCGUCAGUGUCGCAGCUAACGCGUUAAGCACCCCGCCUGGGGAGUACGGCCGCAAGGUUGAA
rnacentral:rRNA from 1 species